UCUGGUCUAUAUUAUAAUAAUAGUUCUGCAUGUUUCGUUACAGAUCCCUAUAUGAUUUGUGUCUUCAGUAUGGCUGGGUUACACCCUCUCUCUCUAACGUCAAUCUUUUGCGGUUGGAAUCUAUUUUGGGCCGAAGGCACUGGAGUGGGACAACAUCUCGUGUGUCGACGGCGACCAGACCUACAAGAAAAAUCUCCGUCAGAGGUGACUUCGACGAAGAUUCUCCGACGCUCAAAUCAGAUUUUCUACAACAGAUGAGAAAGAGCGAACGUUUGUGAGGAAAAAAGAGGCAUACCUUUUUUGAGAUUCUCGAAUUAUCUUUUUAUAGGUGAGAUUGGAGUCUUGAAAAAAGAAGAGGCCUGAAAGAACCUUUUUGCCCCUCAUCAUAUUCUUGAGGACCAUGCCUAGCCCUUUAGUUUUUUGAGUUGAUGAGUGUUGCCACCUCACAAUAUGUGGGGGCCAUCUCCAUUAACGUUAUGAGUUGACAGUUAAGAGCUGAGAGUAUGGGGGGCUUGCCUAACUUAUGAUUACUCUUGUUUUUCAAUGGAUGACGUGAUGGGCUAUAAACAGACCUCAUGGGGGCUAAUAGUCGAAGCUGGUAAUAGAGGCCGAUGCCAAGAUCGGAGGAAAAGAUGAGGUCGGAUGCAUGCGGAGAGCACGGGCAUCCACGGGCCGA
rnacentral:lncRNA from 1 species